CGUCCAAGUCAAUGUUACCUUUACUUAUUUGUGGCAGAAGAAGGCUAGCUGUAGCAUCUUUAUAUAAUUUACCCUCUACGCCUUUUUGAUUCAACAAUAUUCAAAGUGCAGGUCCGAUCUUUACAUAAUCUAUCCUCUAGGCCUUAAUUUCGAUUCAACAAUAUUCAAGUGCUGGUCCGAUCAACGGAGAAUGUUUGAGCAAUGAACAAAAAGAAGCAAUCUGCAUCGAGCGAUCUACGGCGAAUCAUUAAGCAAGUCCAUUAUCGCAUAUUGAAGAGAAAAGCAUAAAACAUGAAUGAUGUGUAAGGUGGAAAGAUCAGGGCCGUUGAUAUCAUUAAGUGCUGAGCUGCCAGACCACGUGAGGAGCCUGUGCUUCCAUUUGAUUCUCCAUAAGCUGAGCCGCUGGAUUGUUACACUUGUCACCAUCUGUUGUAACAUAUAUAUUGCAUCCUUACCGUGUAAACCCUAAGAGGGUUGAUUCAUUUUUGUGUAGCGGCUGGGUUUUCUCGAGAGGCAGAGGGAUAGAGAGAAAAGGGAGAAGGGGCUAUUUAGGGUUUUGGGGUUUGAUCUCUAUAGAGAGAAAUCUGUGUGAUUUCUUGUGGUUUUAUGAGAGGGCUUGUAACUCUAAUGAACUGAGACUUCUCUGUGCUGUAUUGAUUAUCAAUAAAGAUCUCUGAGGCCAUUCCUGCCGUGGAUGUAGACCAUUAGGGUCGAACCACGUAUCUCAGUAUGUUCUUUCUA